GCGCCCACCAGGGGUCCGAUCCAGAAGACCUGGGGCGGGCAGAGAGGACGGUCGGCGCGGGGGACGGUGGGCACGGUGGGGCCGAGCCCCGACUCCGCCGCGCCCUUCAGCCUCGAGACGCGCUCCCCACCCCAACUUCGUGUUGAAAGGGCUGUUGUGAGGUGUCACCAUGUGGCCUGUGAGGAGUACCUGCCGUGAAGCUCACGCACGGUAGAUGCUGAAGAAACAUCGGGUCCUUCUUCCCUCAAGAAGACCCUUGGGACUAGCGCUCCGAGGUUCCUCCCAGUUCAGAAAGCACAGCCGCUUUGGGACCUCGUCUUCUGCUGAGUUCUAGCCCAGCCCUCACUGUAUUGCAGGCAUCGAGUCAACAGAAACCCUGAUGCUCUCUUCCUCGGUGAGGCUCGGGGCAGAAGGUGCCGGCAGACCCUGCCUGUAUCCUGCCUCUGCUCUGAACUUACUCCUCCUUCCACCCUGACUCCCUUAUGACACCGGUGUUCCUGGCUCCAGUAUCUCUCCCUCCCUCCCUCCAUCUCUCUCUCCCCCCACCCAGACCUUCAUCCAGAUCUGGUCCCUCCCAUCUCACCCUGUACGAGGGACUCCCCAGGGUCUGCCCCUUAUGGAAGGGGUGAAGUUCUGGCUACUCACUGCAUUAACAGCCAGGUCCCCUCGGAUGUCUGGUGGCGUAAUCUCAUGGAGCAGAGCAGCCCCUGCCACAGCCCCCAGCAGCUGGGCGGCCACGUAGAAGGCAGCUCGGAGAAAGGAGACGUGGCAGCCUACUAGGCAGGCCACAGUCACGGCAGGAUUGAUGUGAGCCCCACUGACGUGGCCCAGAGCCUGCACCAGGGUGCCGAUACCCAGGCCGAAGGCCACGGCGAUCUGCAGCACAGAGGGCAGAGCCUUUGGCCAGUUGAGGGCCGAGCCAAGGCCAAAGAAGACGAAGAGGAGUGUGGCCAGGAACUCUGCAAACACCGCCCUGGAGAAGGCUAUGGACCGGAGUUCCCACAUGCUGUGAGGCCUUCCGGGGGGCUGGCCCAGCAGUCGGAGUGGAAGGAAGCUUGUGGAGUGCUCUCUCGCGUGCUUUCCCUCUCUCGCUCACUCUCUUGCUCCCUCAGGGUCUCUGGGGAGGCUGGGCUGUGGGCAUUUAUAGGGUUCUUCCAUCCUGGAUUCGGACACGUGAGGUAGAGGUGGAGUUUGGGCCAUUACCUUGUCUCUGCUGUGGCUGCCUCCUGCCCCCACUCCCCACCCCUGCCCACCCACAUGCCUAUCACCCCAUCUUGGCCUUCACAGCUGAAUAAUGUUCCCCAUUAAUGCGCUCCAGAUAAGGACUGACGUCCCCUGGUUUUUCCGUGUUUGUUCCCUGGUUACCCUAGGGCUGCUGCCCCAGGGCCUCCCCUACCCCCACUGGGUCUGUGAAUGGGGAUUCUCUCAGGGGCUUGUGCCAACCCCCUCCCUCUGACCCAAACUGUUGGUCAAGGCAGGGACAACGCCUCUCCCAAAACUGACCAUGAGAGAGGAUGUCAAUGCUACCCCUUCUCGUGACUGGGAAGUCCUUCCUGUCGUUACCCUCCAAUUAUUCCCUCUUGAAGGGGAUGGAAAACAACUGGUUGGCUUGUGACAUGAACCUUCCAAGGCAUAAAGGUUUUGUCUCUUCUGUGCUCGCUUUCUUGCAGUCAAUUACCCGUAAGUUACUAAGCUUUACCUGCUCCCCGGAACCCCAGCCAAAGAGCAGCUCCCAUAGCCUAGAGGCAGGGAGUGGUUUCAGUGGCAUUAGGACCCUGGCCCUGGGGACUGGGGUCAACCUGGGGUUGACCGAGGAAGCCUUGGGCUUCCAUUCCAGCAUCACCCUGCCCCAUUUCUGUGAUUUACCCUUUCUUGUCCAUCUCUGUGAACAAGGGGUAAUAAACUUACACGGGGUUGGGGUUUG